GAUGAACGCUGGCGGCGUGCUUAAUACAUGCAAGUCGAACGAGAGCGACCGGUGCUUGCACUGGUCAAUCUAGUGGCGAACGGGUGAGUAACACGUGGGUAACCUGCCCAUCAGAGGGGGAUAACAUUCGGAAACGGAUGCUAAAACCGCAUAGGUCCUUUAACCGCAUGGUUGAAGGAGGAAAAGAGGCGCAAGCUUCUGCUGAUGGAUGGACCCGCGGUGCAUUAGCUAGUUGGUGAGGUAACGGCUCACCAAGGCCGUGAUGCAUAGCCGACCUGAGAGGGUGAUCGGCCACAUUGGGACUGAGACACGGCCCAAACUCCUACGGGAGGCAGCAGUAGGGAAUCUUCCGCAAUGGACGCAAGUCUGACGGAGCAACGCCGCGUGAGUGAAGAAGGUUUUCGGAUCGUAAAACUCUGUUGUUAGAGAAGAACAAGUGCUAGAGUAACUGUUAGCGCC
rnacentral:rRNA from 1 species